GACGAACGCUGGCGGCGUGCUUAACACAUGCAAGUCGAACGGAAAGGCCUGCUUUCCCUUGUGGAUUGCGGGUACUCGAGUGGCGAACGGGUGAGUAACACGUGAGUGAUCUGCCCCCAACUUGGGUAUAAGCCUGGGAAACUGGGUCUAAUUCCCGAUAGGACUGCAGGGUGGUGCCUGUGGUGGAAAACGAUUUUCUAGUGGUGGGGGAUGAGCUCGCGGCCUAUCAGCUUGUUGGUGGGGUAAUGGCCUACCAAGGCGGCGACGGGUAGCCGGCCUGAGAGGGUGGACGGCCACAUUGGGACUGAGAUACGGCCCAGACUCCUACGGGAGGCAGCAGUGGGGAAUAUGGCACAAUGGGCGGAAGCCUGAUGCAGCGACGCCGCGUGGGGGAUGACGGCCUUCGGGUUGUAAACUCCUUUCGACCGCGAGGAAGCCACCUGGUUGGAAGGGUGGUGACGGUAGUGGUAGAAGAAGCACCGGCUAACUACGUG
rnacentral:rRNA from 1 species